AAAAAUAACAAGAUUAUAGUAAAUGGGUUUUGACAUUAUAUCAAAACCACUUCCCUAAAAAAAAAAUUAAUUUUUAGACUUUCCUAUCAUAUUAAUUGUAGUAUUUUCUACUUCUCCCAUUAGAAGAUUCUCUAAUGACUAUUGGGGGACUAUAACAAUGGGCAUAAUUAAGUUAAUGGGGCAUGAAUUUCUUGUAUCUAAUUUCCAUAGUUUAAUUAAGGGCGGAGAAAACAACCAUAAUCUCCUUUGAAAUUCCUCUUCUCUCCACUAUGAUUGUGAUGCUGACCUUUUUUCAUUAAUUAUUUAUUUUUCUGUUAUUGGUAUACACUCAAUAUUUUUUUGAAACACCUUUCUGUAUGGAUCUUUCCUUUGCUAAAUCAUCAGGCUAUUGGUUAUAUUAAUUACAAUUAAAAAAAUACAACUAUAAUAAUUGGAAUGACUAAUGAGACAAACCAAUGUUCACUCCUUUUUACAAUUAUAUAUAGAUAUAUAUUUCUGCAUAAUAAUAUGACUUGUGUUAUAAAUGAGAGGAAAAAAUAUGUAUA
rnacentral:misc_RNA from 1 species